rnacentral:rRNA from 1 species
CCUACGGGCGGCUGCAGUGGGGAAUAUUGCACAAUGGGCGAAAGCCUGAUGCAGCAACGCCGCGUGAGCGAUGAAGGCCUUCGGGUCGUAAAGCUCUGUCCUCAAGGAAGAUAAUGACGGUACUUGAGGAGGAAGCCCCGGCUAACUACGUGCCAGCAGCCGCGGUAAUACGUAGGGGGCUAGCGUUAUCCGGAUUUACUGGGCGUAAAGGGUGCGUAGGCGGUCUUUUAAGUCAGGAGUGAAAGGCUACGGCUCAACCGUAGUAAGCUCUUGAAACUGGAGGACUUGAGUGCAGGAGAGGAGAGUGGAAUUCCUAGUGUAGCGGUGAAAUGCGUAGAUAUUAGGAGGAACACCAGUAGCGAAGGCGGCUCUCUGGACUGUAACUGACGCUGAGGCACGAAAGCGUGGGGAGCAAACAGGCUUAGAUACCCCUGUAGUC